CAGAGACAGAGACUGGCGCAUGCGCGUUUGCCGGCUUCCCUUCGCUCGCCCGCCCGGCUCUUUCGGCGCAGACGCUGCGGCGGUUCGUCGUCUCCCGCCCGGGCAGCGGCAGAAGCGGGAGGCGGCUCAGGUUUGGCUCCUUUCACGCCGUCCCUUUUGGGGCUGCGGCCUCUCCGGGGUGCCCGGGCUGAAACGCCUGAGGGGGGGCGCGGAUAAUGUGAGGGGGAGACAGUUUCUUCUUUCCCGCGCUUUUCUGUGAGGGGAAAAUUCCCCCCUUCGCUUUUUUUUUUCUGGGGGGGGGUACCUGGUCCAUGGGGGGGUGAAGUCCCCCCUACACCCCGAAGGCGGAAAACUGUUGUUAUUUGCUAAAAGUUAAACGGUAAAGCAGACACGCAACAAGCAGCCGGCGGGGGGGGGGUGUCGUUGCCCGCCCCCCCCUUUAAUCAAGUAAAUGGUUAUAAAAUUUUAGGGUGAACGCACAUAGCAGACGCACGCUUCAGUCUUCCCAGCCUCCCCAAAUUGAGGAAAUGUUUCCUCGGGAAAAUUGCAUAUUAUUGUAGCGCACAGAACCACCACCCCCAAAAAACACACGUCUUGGCUCUCCUAAUGGAUUAUUUCCUCUGAAGAAGGAGAUCUCCUGGAAGAAAUAAUAACAACAACAACAACAAUAAUAUUUUAUUAUUUAUACCCCGCCCAGCUGGCUGAGUCUCCAACAACAACAACAACAACAAUAAUAAUAAUAAUAAUAUUUUAUUAUUUAUACCCCACCCAUCUGGCUGAGUUUCCCCAGCCACUCUGGGCGGCUCCCAAUCAAAUGUUAAAAACAGUACAGCAUUGAAUAUUAAAAACUUCCCUAAACAGGGCUGCCUUCAGAAACCUUUUCCCAUAGUUCUUUCAUUUAGCAAAUCCUGCCUUAAGGGCAUAUUUUGUGCAUGAAUAGUCCUGUGACCUGGAUUCGCAGACUCAAGUGUUUACCAUCACAAAAGAAUGGGCCAGGCUGCCCAGGUAACGCAAUCCGUGAAAACGUCAUCAGUGACGUACGUGUGAUGCUUUUAGGGUGGCCUUUGGCUAAGGGGUUGAGCAACGCCGAAAGUCUUUGUAGAAACCCAAGAAUUACCAACAAUAGAAGAAUGACAGAUGAAGAUGAUGGAUUUUUUGGAGCUAGCCGACCUAACUGGAAGAGUUCGCAACCAGAAGGAGGAGGAGUAUCAGGAAGUGUGGAUUAAAUUCAAUGAUUACUUACUUAAAUAUGUUAAGUUAAAUUAACUGAAAACAGCUUGCAGAUACAUAAUUGGUUUAGGAUUUUAUUUAUGUUUAGUGAUGAAUUAAUAUGUUUAAUUUCAUAAUGUGAAGAUCUAAGGAUGUUAAUAUUUAAGUUAAAUUUUAUAAGAAUGUUGAUUUGGAAAACCGUUAAAAGGACAUGCAAUGAAAUUCAACCAAGGGGAAGCAAGGAAGUCACUUAACAAUGUUGAUAAGUGUAAUUUUCAAUAAGGCUAUGAUUUAUGUUUGUUUGUCUUAUGUGUUUGUUUAUAAUGUUGUGAAAACCGAUAAUUUUUUUUUUGGAAAAAAAAAGAAAGUCUUUGUAAAGAAUAUAAAAGAUUCCUGCACACUUUGUUCUUCUUGGUCUCUCCCACCUCCUUGCAGGGCGGGGAAGCUGUUGCAACAGGAAAAUGGAGAUCUGCCUUGCUUUCCACUGGAUCCUGCCUCCACCCAUUCUUCUCUGACUGAUCAUGGACUUAGGGGACUCAUGAAGUCCCUUUGGGGAGUUAGGUAGCAAAAGCCAACCCCCCGAUUUUUUUUCUGCAACGAAAAUAAAUAAAAAUACUUAACUGACCAAUUGCAUAGGAGAUAUCUUGGUUCUGCCACCCAACAUUAUUCCUGGCUACUCCCAUGCCCCCAGCUACAAUUAAAGCCAAGGGGGAAAUGCUAUAGUGGACACAUGGCGCUAUUACAUGUGCUGCAUGAUUCCCGUUUCCCAUAUUUCUAUGUUUAGUGUGGCAGCGGCUGCACUCUGGAACUCCCUGCCUGUUGACAUUAUGCAGGUGCCAAAGUCAGGGUCAUUUUAAUCUCUAUUAGUAUUUUUAACUUUUGUUUGUAUUUAAAUGGGAUUGUGGGUUUUCUUAUUUUAUUUUACGGUCUUCCUGCAUUGCAGAGGGUUGGACUAGAUGACUUUCGUGGUAUCUUCCAACUCAACAAUUCUAUGAUUUUAUGUUGUAUCUUUCUUGUAAACGGCUUUGAGGUUUUCUUACAAUCAAGCGGUGUUCAAAUUUUAUGAAAUAAACAACAACAACAACAAUAAAACAUUCCACCUGCUUCUAAAAGGCCACAGAUAAUUCAAGGCCAAAGGCCUGGUUACAAUGGAAGUAAGGUAAAGGGACCCCUGACCAUUAGGUCCAGUCGUGGCCGACUCUGGUGUUGCAGCGCUCAUAUCGCUUCAUUGGCCGAGGGAGCUGGCGUACAGGUUCCGGGUCAUAUGGCCAGCAUGACUAAGCCGCUUCUGGCGAACCAGAGCAGCGCACGGAAACGCCGUUUACCUUUCCUAUUUAUCUACUUGCACUUUGAUGUGCUUUCGAACUGCUAGGUUGGCAGGAGCAGGGACCGAGCAAUGGGAGCUCACCCGUCGAGGGGAUUCGAAACACUGACCUACUGAUCGGCAAGUCCUAGGCUCUGUGGUUUAACCCACAGCGCCACCCGCUGAAUGGAAGUAUUCAGUUGUAAAUUAGGGGUUAAUAAAUUCUGCUUGCUUCAUGCUUAUUUAUUAUUUUAUUUAAUUACACUUAAUACAUAAAUUUAAUAUAACAGCAUUGUGUUCUCAUGCUCUGGAGGGCAGGACACAAACCAAUAGCUUGGAACAGUUUCCCUCGAGGCUGUGGGCUCUCCUUCCUUGGAGGUUUUAAAGCAGAGGUUGGAUAGUCACUGAUGCUUAGUUGAGAUUUCUGCAUUUCAGGGGCUUGGACUAGAUGACCCUCAGGGUCCCUAAUCCCUGUCUGUUCCCUAUCUGACUGUCAAGACCUAUCUCAGCCCUAACCGAACCCUAUCUAACAGUUUUAACUGCCAGGGUCUAACUUCCUACUGGCUGGAUGGAACACUACCCAGCUCUGAUUAGUUUCUAGAUCUACAGGAGGCUGACCCAAGGUCCAUCCAUCACAAUAUGUGAUUGAAGUUUAGACCCAGUAGCAAAGGAAAAUAUUUGGGAAGUGUAUACAACUCAUAAAAGAGGUGGAAAAGUUUUGUUAAUGGGUGAAUUUAUUUCUUUUUAAUUUAUUAAAUUAAUAUUCCAUCCUUCCUCUGAGAGACAGAGAGAGUACAGGGGGUUCCAGUAUAGACCAGCAGACACAGAAAUGGGUUCCAAUAUCUUUAAAAAAUUAUGGCAUCAUAACUAUUCUGAAAUAAUCUGAGGGUGCUCCCAGAUUGGAAUUCAUUGUGGUAUUGGUGCUCGUCAUGCCAUGCAUGUAAAUUUUGCAGUGUUCACACUACACUGCGAUUAAAAUAUAAGCCCACGCACCCACACAUCAGAUUUCCUCUGCAAUGAAACAUAGUUCUUGAAAUUUCCACAUAAUUUCCACAAUAAUAUGUAAAGGAGCCAGAAGUUAACUCUGGGAUUGCACACAAGUUCCUUAGGAUCUCAUAUUGCCCACCCCUGCAUUAACUAUUGUUCAGGGUUUUCCUUUCCAAUCAAAUUUUGCUCUUGCAGGGGCACUUUUAUAUUUAGCAAAUGCCACCAGGUGGCACUGUAAUACACCAUCUCUAAACAAACCUAAAAAUUACAGCAAACUUAAAUACUACAGAUAUGAAAACUACAAGAUUGUUAAUUUUAAUUUUUGUAUUUUAUAAUGUUAAGAGUGUUUCACUAAAUUACCUUACUUUUUUCUCUUUAUAACCAAAGAUUAAAUAACAAUCUUUGGUUAUAAAGUGGGAGAAUGGACCACUUUGUCAGAUGUAUGAAGUUUUCUCCUUACUUGGCAAACCAUAUUCAUGGUUACGGACAUCAAAAUAGUAAAAACAGGCAACAGUGAUGCAUCAGGUUUCUACGCAUAGUCCAAAUUAUUUGAAGAAGGAAAGUAUUGGAUCAAAAAACUUCUUGCAUAAAGUUAUUUCUCAGUACAUUUUUCUUAUGUACUCAUGAUUUUCUCACUUUAUCAGUUUUCCAGUCUUAAGUUCAGUUCCCAACAUGUCCAUAUCAGUUUGCAUUUUUUUAAAAAAGAAAGGUCUCGUGAAAAUUCAUCAAUAUUGAAGAGAUUUCCCCCCCCAAAAAAACACAAAUAUGCAAAUCAUAUUUUCCUAACUAUAUUUUUUUAAUGCUGCUUUUGCUAAUAUUUCCUUUUUAUGCAUACUUUACUUGGAUGAGGAACUACAUUGCAAAAUAGGGAGAGCUGUGAAUUUCAAAGGACUGCUGUGUUUCGGUUCAUAUCUUGUUUUGAAAAGUGAAUUAAGUUGGUUUGCCUUUAAAUGUGAAAUGAGUCAAAUUUCUCCCACAUUCGCUAGUGGCAAGUCAGUCACCCCAGAUCAUUAAUCUAAAAUGUUUACUUAAUUAUAACAAUUGAAAUAACUCCCUUUGUGGGAUCAAACUGUUUUUGAAAUACACCAAUGAGCCACUAGAACACUUUGCUUUCUCUGAUACUGUUGAGCCACAGGAAAAAUAAGUUGGGAUUGCAGCCAAUGGCAAACAGAAUCUGAGUCCAGAUAGGUGGCAACACACACUCAGGCACUUUCUGCAAUGACUUCCCAUUUCUGGAACACUCCUCCGGGAAGCUCCAGGCAAAAACAUCCCUUUUAAACCAGGCCUUUGCCUUUUAACCAUCUAUGGCCGUUUUGUAUGGGUGGGAUGUUUUAAUGUAGUUUUACAUAUGCAAGUUUGAAUCGUUUGCAUCAUCCUGUGUGGCUGAGACAUAGACAAAACUUUCCUAUCACUUGAAAAUGCAGUAUUUUUCAAUGGAGGUAACUUAUUUGGGUGGAAGUUAUCAAGUGAUGAUUUUUUAAGUGCAAGUGUUAACCAGCCCUAGAACCAGUAGCGAUCAGUGGUGUGGUGCUGGCAAAAUGGGGUUUGCUCCCAUGCCUCUUCAACGCUGAGGGUUGCUCCCAGUUUCUGAGAGGCAGAGGUGAGGUGCGGGGAGGUCAGCGCAAUGUGGUUGAAGCCAGCCCAGCAUUUCUGCCUCUGUAUAGGGACGCGGGUGGUGCUGUGGGUUAAACCACAGAGCCUAGGUCUUGCCGAUCAGAAGGUUGGUUGUUUGAAUCCCUGGGAAGCGGUGAGCUCCCGUUGCUCGGUCCCUGCUCCUGCCAACCUAGCAGUUCAAAAGCACGUCAAAGUGCAAGUAGAUAAAUAGGUACCGCUCUGGCGGGAAGGUAAACGGCGUUUCUGUGCACUGCUCUGGUUCGCCAGAAGCGGCUUAGUCAUGCUGGCCACAUGACCCGGAAGCUGUACGCCGGCUCCCUCGGCCAAUAAAGCGAGAUGAGCGCCGCAACCCCAGAGUCGGCCACGACUGGACCUAAUGGUCAGGGGUCCCUUUACCUUUAUAUGCACCACACUGAUCUCCUAUGCCUUGCUCCACUCUUAGGAACCAGCAGCAAACCUACCACAUAUAGCACUUACUGAAAUGAGUAGGAGUUUGACAAUUUUUGAGCUGCCUCCAGCUUCCAUUCAGUUAAGAACACCUAAACAUUAUAAUGUAUCUUUAAAUUAGGAGUCAUUUACAGGAUCAUUGUUGAUUCCCCCCCCCACCCCAAGCUGGCAAGGCUCAUUGGACAGCAACAAGAAACUUUGUCUUUAGUGUCACCAGUCCAGUCGAGGGAUGCUCUGCCAACAGAGAUUCAGCAGGCGCCUUCUCUUCUAACCUCUAAAUGCCUGUUGAAAACAUUUCUAUGCUGCCAGGCUUACACUGGCAAUUAAAAUAUCCCUUUGCAAUAUUUGAUCUCUGGUUUUCAAUUUUUAUAUGUUUUUAUUUUAUGGUUUUAUGCAUGGUUGUUGUUUAUGAAUGGCGGUAUAUAAAUGUAUUUAU